rnacentral:tRNA from 1 species
GGGCCCGUAGUCUAGUGGCUAUGACGUCGCUUUGACGUAGCGAAGGUCGCCAGUUCGAACGAGAAUUCAGGGAGUCCUGGUGUUCCAGAACCCUGGGUCCUGCGACAAUCUGGCCGGGCCCA